rnacentral:tRNA from 1 species
ACUGUUUUGGCAGAAUAAAUGCUUUAGGGUUAGGUUCUAUGUAUGUAUAAUUAUACAAGCAGUA